UCCCUGGUGGCUCAGACAGUAAAGCAUCUGCCUACAAUGCAGGAGAUAGUACGUAGGUUCGAUCCUGCCUACAGAG
rnacentral:tRNA from 1 species